rnacentral:rRNA from 1 species
CCAGCAGCUGCGGUAAUUCCAGCUCUAAUAGCAUAUAUUAAAGUUGUUGCAGUUAAAAAGCUCGUAGUCGGAUUUUGGGCUUGUGUGGGCUGUCGGCCUAUGGUCGGACGGAAUGUGCAGGCCUUUCUGCUCGGAAUCCCCAUGGCGGUUCGCGCCGCUGUGGAGGGUACGGGCCGUUUACUUUGAAAAAAUUAGAGUGUUCAAAGCAGGCUAUCGCUUGAAUAGAUUAGCAUGGAAUAAUGGAAUAGGACCUUGGUGCUAUUUCGUUGGUUAUGGGACUGGGGUAAUGAUUAAUAGGGACAGUUGGGGCCGUUCAUAUUUCGUUGUCAGAGGUGAAAUUCUUGGAUUUACGAACGAUGAACUUAUGCGAAAGCAUUCGGCAAGGAUGUUUUCAUUGAUCAAG